rnacentral:rRNA from 1 species
UUGCUCCCUGAUGUUAGCGGCGGACGGGUGAGUAACACGUGGGUAACCUGCCUGUAAGACUGGGAUAACUCCGGGAAACCGGGGCUAAUACCGGAUGGUUGUCUGAACCGCAUGGUUCAGACAUAAAAGGUGGCUUCGGCUACCACUUACAGAUGGACCCGCGGCGCAUUAGCUAGUUGGUGAGGUAACGGCUCACCAAGGCGACGAUGCGUAGCCGACCUGAGAGGGUGAUCGGCCACACUGGGACUGAGACACGGCCCAGACUCCUACGGGAGGCAGCAGUAGGGAAUCUUCCGCAAUGGACGAAAGUCUGACGGAGCAACGCCGCGUGAGUGAUGAAGGUUUUCGGAUCGUAAAGCUCUGUUGUUAGGGAAGAACAAGUGCCGUUCAAAUAGGGCGGCACCUUGACGGUACCUAACCAGAAAGCCACGGCUAACUACGUGCCAGCAGCCGCGGUAAUACGUAGGUGGCAAGCGUUGUCCGGAAUUAUUGGGCGUAAAGGGCUCGCAGGCGGUUUCUUAAGUCUGAUGUGAAAGCCCCCGGCUCAACCGGGGAGGGUCAUUGGAAACUGGGGAACUUGAGUGCAGAAGAGGAGAGUGGAAUUCCACGUGUAGCGGUGAAAUGCGUAGAGAUGUGGAGGAACACCAGUGGCGAAGGCGACUCUCUGGUCUGUAACUGACGCUGAGGAGCGAAAGCGUGGGGAGCGAACAGGAUUAGAUACCCUGGUAGUCCACGCCGUAAACGAUGAGUGCUAAGUGUUAGGGGGUUUCCGCCCCUUAGUGCUGCAGCUAACGCAUUAAGCACUCCGCCUGGGGAGUACGGUCGCAAGACUGAAACUCAAAGGAAUUGACGGGGGCCCGCACAAGCGGUGGAGCAUGUGGUUUAAUUCGAAGCAACGCGAAGAACCUUACCAGGUCUUGACAUCCUCUGACAAUCCUAGAGAUAGGACGUCCCCUUCGGGGGCAGAGUGACAGGUGGUGCAUGGUUGUCGUCAGCUCGUGUCGUGAGAUGUUGGGUUAAGUCCCGCAACGAGCGCAACCCUUGAUCUUAGUUGCCAGCAUUCAGUUGGGCACUCUAAGGUGACUGCCGGUGACAAACCGGAGGAAGGUGGGGAUGACGUCAAAUCAUCAUG